AUUGAACGCUGGCGGCAGGCCUAACACAUGCAAGUCGAGCGAGCGGCGGACGGGUGAGUAAUGUAUGGGGACUGCCCGAUAGAGGGGGCUAACUACUGGAAACGGUGGCUAAUACCGCAUACUAUCGGAUAACCCAUAUGGGAUUAGCUAGUAGGUGGGGUAAAGGCUCACCUAGGCGACGAACUCUAGCGGGUCUGAGAGGAUGAUCAUCCACACUGGGACUGAAACACGGACCAUACUCCUGCGGUGGCAUCAGUGGGGAAUAUUGCACAAUGGGCGCAAGCCGUAUGCAGCCAUGCCGCGUGUAUGAAGAAGGCCUUAGGGUUUUAAAGGACUUUCAGCGGGGAGUCGUUACCCGCAGAAGAAGCACCGGCUAACUCCGUGCCAGCAGCCGCGGUAAUAC
rnacentral:rRNA from 1 species